CGGAAAAAGAGAAAGAAAACAAAUGGCCGUAGAAACAUCGACAUGAUUAAAUCUAUAUGCUUCGUGGAGAAGAUUCUGCGAAAGUCGGAAAACGAUAAAUCGAUUCAGGUGAUCAGUAUGUUUUCGAAACGGCCACGAUGAAGGGUGACAACAACACUAGCGACAUGAUUAGGAUUACUAUCGAAUUUUCGCUCAGCUCUAAAAUUAAAGAGAAAAAAUCAAUUAUUAUCAAACUCUCACCUGUACUUAAA